UGAGGAAUAUUGGUCAAUGGACGGAAGUCUGAACCAGCCAAGUAGCGUGCAGGAUGACGGCCCUAUGGGUUGUAAACUGCUUUUGUAUGGGGAUAAAGUUAGGGACGUGUCCCUAUUUGCAGGUACCAUACGAAUAAGGACCGGCUAAUUCCGUGCCAGCAGCCGCGGUAAUACGGAAGGUUCGGGCGUUAUCCGGAUUUAUUGGGUUUAAAGGGAGCGUAGGCCGUUUGGUAAGCGUGUUGUGAAAUGUAGGAGCUCAACUUCUAGAUUGCAGCGCGAACUGUCAGACUUGAGUGCGCACAACGUAGGCGGAAUUCAUGGUGUAGCGGUGAAAUGCUUAGAUAUCAUGAAGAACUCCGAUUGCGAAGGCAGCUUACGGGAGCGCAACUGACGCUGAAGCUCGAAGGUGCGGGUAUCGAACAGG
rnacentral:rRNA from 1 species